GAUGAACGCUGGCGGCGUGCCUAAUACAUGCAAGUCGAGCGAAUGGAUUAAGAGCUUGCUCUUAUGAAGUUAGCGGCGGACGGGUGAGUAACACGUGGGUAACCUGCCCAUAAGACUGGGAUAACUCCGGGAAACCGGGGCUAAUACCGGAUAACAUUUUGAACCGCAUGGUUCGAAAUUGAAAGGCGGCUUCGGCUGUCACUUAUGGAUGGACCCGCGUCGCAUUAGCUAGUUGGUGAGGUAACGGCUCACCAAGGCAACGAUGCGUAGCCGACCUGGGAGGGUGAUCGGCCACCCGGGGACUGAGACACGGCCCAGACGCCUACGGGAGGCAGCAGUAGGGAAUCUUCCGCAACGGACGAAAGUCUGCCGGAGCAACGCCGCGUGAGUGAUGAAGGCUUUCGGGUCGUAAAACUCUGUUGUUAGGGAAGAACAAGUGCUAGUUGAAUAAGCUGGCACCUUGACGGUACCUAACCAGAAAGCCACGGCUAACUACGUGCCAGCCGCCGCCGUAA
rnacentral:rRNA from 1 species